CCUACGGGAGGCUGCAGUAGGGAAUAUUGCUCAAUGGGGGAAACCCUGAAGCAGCAACGCCGCGUGGAGGAUGAAGGUUUUCGGAUUGUAAACUCCUUUUGUUAGAGAAGAUAAUUACGGUAUCUAACGACUACGCACCGGCUAACUCCGUGCCAGCAGCCGCGGUAAUACGGAGGGUGCAAGCGUUACUCGGAAUCACUGGUCGUAAAGAGCGCGUAGGCGGGAUAGCAAGUCAGAUGUGAAAUCCUAUGGCUUAACCAUAGAACUGCAUUUGAAACUGUUAGUCUAGAGUAUGGGAGAGGUAGGUGGAAUUCUUGGUGUAGGGGUAAAAUCCGUAGAGAUCAAGAGGAAUACUCAUUGCGAAGGCGACCUGCUAGAACAUAACUGACGCUGAUGCGCGAAAGCGUGGGGAGCAAACAGGAUUAGAUACCCUUGUAGUC
rnacentral:rRNA from 1 species